rnacentral:misc_RNA from 1 species
GAUGAAGAACGCAGCGAAAUGCGUUAAGUAGUGUGAAUUGCAGAAUUCAGUGAAUCAUCGAAUCUUUGAACGCACAUUGCGCCCCUUGGUAUUCCAUGGGGCAUGCCUGUUCGAGCGUCAUUUGUACCCUCAAGCUCAGCUUGGUGUUGGGGCCUGCUGCACUGGCAGCCCUUAAAAUCAGUGGCGGCGCCAUCUGGCUCUAAGCGUAGUAAUUCUUCUCGCUAUGGAGUCCUGGUGGAUGCUUGCCAUCAACCCCCAAUUUUUCUAUGGUUGACCUCGGAUCAGGUAGGGAUACCCGCUGAACUUAAGCAUAUCAAUAAGCGGAGGA